CUUUUCUCUGAAACUAUAAGAACUAAUACUGUUGAAACUUGGUAAGUAGAUGUAUUCUGUGAACCGCAUUAAGAUUUUCACACAAAAAUAGAAAAAAAAAAUUUGGGGGUUCCCCAUACUUGGAACUGAAACUCUUUUUUUCAUCAAACCCAUACGUGUGGGGUAUCUAUGGAUAAGUCUUCAAAAAUGAUAUUGAGGAUAAAACAAAAAAAAAAUAUAUGAUGUACAUUACCAUGCAAACUUCCACCGAAAAUUGGUUUGAACGAGAUCUAGUAAGUAGUUUUUUUUAAUACGUCAUAAAU